UAACGAUUUUCAGAUUGACUAAGCUGUAAUUAAAAUAUGAUCCCAUCUUACAUCAGUUUCCCCACCACACACAGAAUAAAAAGAAAGAGAGCUUUUGACACCUAAUUGAUAAAUGAUGAAUAGUCUCAGUAUGAAUUGAUAAACCAGAAAAGAGCUUUAUUUCCUGACUUAACAGCUGUCAAAUUAAACAAUUCACCGUAGUACAGAUUUAUCUUCUUCCAGUGUCUACCUGAGAUGGAUGGUAUAAUUGCGUGAGCAGAAGCAGAAGACCAGGCAAAUUAUUCCUAUAAUUUCAAUGAAUUAGUCAAUUAAUACAAGCUCAAUCCCCACCUUCAACAAAUAAAAUAACAAUGGAACAAACAUGUACAUUGAGCUCCCUUAACGUCAGGCCAAUUGUGCCAGACAUGCCCACUGUAAAUCAGAUAAGAACUUCAAUUUUUCUUGUUCAGUCACUGUACAAUUAUCUUUCACAGAACACUGUCAAUUUCCUAAAGAAUCUAUAGUGAUUUUGAACUGUAUAGCAUUCACAAGAUGUGUGAAAAUCACCCAUCACCUAAAUCAAUUUACAACAAGAAGCACCUUUGUGGAUUAGCAAUGAAGCAUUCAAGCACCCUACCCGCUCAUUCUUUUUGUACCAGCCGUUCUGUAUCUUCCAAUUCAACCUCCCCUCCUUGACACUCUCCCCCAUUUUGAAACAGCAUUUCAAUUUGCUCCAAGGACUUGCCUUUUGUUUCUGGAAUACAUGUAUGGACAAAAAGAACAGAAAGAGCUGAAAUCACUGAGAAGAUGAAGAAAGUUCCUCCUACCGUGAUUGCAUGACAUACUGAGAGAAAAGACAUAGUAACCGCACCACUACUAACCCUACUGCCUACUGCCCCAAGAGCAGAUGCCUGAGCUCGAAGCCUUAGAGGAAAGAUUUCAGAUGACACAACCCAGCAAACAGGGCCAAGUCCUAUAGAGAAGAAAGCUACAUUCCCACAAACUGAUAAAAUUGCCAAAACAAUUCCAAGUUUUCCAUCCCCCAUAAAAAAUAAAGACAGACUCAAAACAAGUAAGCUGAUGGUCAUCCCAACUGUGCUUAUGAAAAGCAAACGUCUUCUGCCCACUUUGUCAAUGAGAAAUAUAGCUACCAAAAUGAAUAAGGUUUUGGUAAACCCAACAGCAACAGUUGCAGCAAGAAGCUGAGUGUCGCCCUUAAUUCCAGCAUCCUUAAAGAUUGUGGGGCUAUAAUACACUGUUGCAUCAAUACCCGUGAUUUGUUGGAAAAACUGGAUUCCACAACCAGUGAUCAGCAUCUGUCGAACUGAAGGAGAAGGAUGUAAUAUUUCAUGCCAGACAGCUUUUGCUUCAUACUUAUUAGCAUUAGCCCGGACAGCAGCCAUUUGUAUCUCUGCUAAUCUCUCCUCCACUUCACUUUCAUUUUCAUUUGUCUUUGACAAAACUAAUCUUGCUUCUUCAACCCUAUUCUGCAUCACCAACCACCUUGGGGAUUCAGGAAUCACAAAUAGGGCAAACCCCAUAAACACUGAGGGAAGGAUUCCCACUCCAAGCAUCACCCUCCAGUUUAUAUGUACUGGAAGUCCCGAAAAAGAAUAGUUAGAAACAUAUCCUAGAAGGAUUCCUAGAUUUGUAAAAAUUUCAGGAAAAGAGGUAAGAAAUCCUCUGGCAGCAGUAGGUGAUAUCUCUGCUAUGUACACUGGUGCAAUCAUUACCCCAAAGCCUAUCCCUAUGCCAGCCAAAAGUCUGCCAGUCAUCAGCACCGCAAAGGAAGGGGCAAGAGUCAUUACAGCUGCCCCUGUCUGAAAAACAAUAGCCGCUAAAGCUAUAGUCCACUUUCGACCAAUGGCAUCAGAUGUUUUUCCUCCAGCUAAGCUACCCAAAAGUGAAAUUAUGCUUAAAAUUCCAACAAGAACUUCCUGUUGUACCUCAGAUAUAUUGAGAUCUUGUUGAAUGAACAAAAUUGCUCCACUCAUGACACCCGCAUCUGCAGAAUGACAAGCGCGUAUUUGAAACUAGUACUUAGAACAACACCCAAACGGACAGUGUUCAGUGACAACAGGCUUUAUUUAGGUCAUACAUUGUCUUAAAUGAAUAAAUACAGAAAAAUAAAACAUUUAUUCUCCCACUUACACUUAUAUUUACAACCUAAAAUCAUUAUUUUUCUACAGUAUGUUAUUUUGAGAUCUCCAAAAGUAACCAAAGAUUAAUAAACAAAAUGAAAUUACAGAAUUGAUUUUGCCCUUGCAUCUAAGUGAAUCAAGAUUAUGACUACAAGCUAGAGAAUUACCAUGCACUUUCAGCAUAGGAAUCAACCUCCUGAACCAUCCUGACAUUUGGGAGACUACUGAUUUCUUUAAAUGCUAGGCAUACCUGGCAUCAUAUCCCGCAGUGAUUAAGCCUUUUUGCCCAAUCUGGGCGUUUUCCCCUCCAAUUAAACUGUAAUGACCAAUUCUAUUCAUAUUACUUAAUCAAACAAAAAUCCAUAUCUUACUCUAUACACAUCAUUUUGCAUUUCUGCACUCUAUCACAUUCCUUCUCUAAAAAAUUCACACAUACCUUUCGAACCAAUAACUCGAUAGUCCAGAUUUCUCCUAUAAUAGUAGUGCAAGAGGUAAGAGUUCGAAUUCUCAUACCACUUUCCCGCCCCUUAAUAGUAUUAAAAGAUGGGAAAAUUUUCCAAACAAGCGUAAGAACUACAGAGCAUACAAUGAGGUCCAAGAAAGGCUCAAAAUGAUACAAAAAUCAUAAAAAUCACCGUUCGGAAAAGGAGAUGGACAAACCAAUCGAAAAAAGGCAAUGUGGCUAUUGAAAAUUGAGAAUACCAACAAAUAACCAGGAGAUAAAAUUGCAAACGGAGUAAUAGAUGUAUAGAGAUGUCAAAAAAAACUAACCGUAGCCCAUGAGCACAGAAUUGAGAGAGGCAAAAACGGCACAGGCAAACACAAAUUUCUGCACAUCAUUUUCCCUCUUGAAAACACCCUCUUGCCAUUGAGCGUUACUAGACAAAACAACAUCGUCCUCUGCAGCUUCAGAAUCCAUCCUCCUGUACUUGUUCUUCUCCCCUACUCCAUCCCCAUUUCCCUGUAACCCCAGAUUUUUUUUUUUUGGUCUCU
rnacentral:misc_RNA from 1 species